AUUGAACGCUAGCGGGAUGCCUUACACAUGCAAGUCGAACGGAGUGGCGAACGGGUGAGUACUGUAUCGGAACGUGCCCAGUAGCGGGGGAUACCUACGCGAAAGCGUAGCUAUUACCGCAUCCUUUUGGAGCGGCCUAUAUCGGAUUAGCUAGUUGGUGGGGUAACGGCUCACCAAGGCGACGAUCCGUAGCUGGUUCGAGAGGGCGACCAGCCACACUGGGACUGAGACACGGCCCAGACUCCUACGGGAGGCAGCAGUGGGGAAUUUUGGACAAUGGGGGAAACCCUGAUCCAGCCAUCCCGCGUGUGCGAUGAAGGCCUGCGGGUUGUAAAGCACUUUUGGCAGGAAAGCGGUACCUGCAGAAUAAGCACCGGCUAACUACGUGCCAGCAGCCGCGGUAAUAC
rnacentral:rRNA from 1 species